GAGGGUGUAGCUCAGUGGUAGAGUGAGUGUUUAGUAUGCAUGAGGUCCUGGAUUCAAUCCCCAGUACCUCUG
rnacentral:tRNA from 1 species